rnacentral:lncRNA from 10 species
CCCCACCCACCCUGCAGGGAAAGACCCCCGACGCCACAGGGCCCCUCGGCCCUCCGGCCAAACCCGAUAAUCUCCCGCCUGAGGGUGGGGAACUCAACUCACCCCCGGGGUAAACUGGGGCGGUGCGGCAGCGUCCCUGAAGCUCUACAGGCCCCUUCCCCCUUUGCAAGAACCUGGCCCCUAGGGAAGCGCCCCGCCCCCACCCAUCCCCCUACCCCAGCCCAAACUGGGGGAGGAUGGUCCAGCCCAGAUCUCACAUGUCUUAAAGGGUAAAAUGUACGGUUAUUUUUCAUUCGUUUUGGGGGGCGGGGUUGCUCACCCCUCCCCGGUUAACUGCUAGCGACUGACAGGCGGGGGACGGCCGAGACAGACAAAGAGAAGCCGAAGACUCUGGGGUCUUCAGGAGAGGGUCGCACGAGCUGGUGAUUUAAAAAGAAAGGAACCUUUUCCCUAGAUGUUUAAAUGGGGGGGGUCUCCGCCUUCCCCACGCCAGCCCCACGAAACUCCCCCGCCUCCGGGGAUGCAGGACCGGGGGACCCUGCGAGCGCGGGACUGGAAAGCUGGGAACGGGGUAUCCCAGUGGAGAACGAGGAAGCCGCAGGAAAUAAUGUUUUGAGAUCCCCACGGGAGAAAGGGUGGUUCGCACCCGGGGUCCGGCUGUUAAAUGAUAACGUUUCGGGGUCCUGAGGGGAACACGCGGAACUGGCCGGAGAUGACUCCAGGAGACAGGAACGAGUCGGGGACAGACAGGUGGAGUUUCCAGAGCCUGCACCACCCGGGACACUGCUGGCAGCUCUCUAGGCCCUAGAGUCUGAGCUGACUCCGACUUUGGCUCACCGCUCUGCGGCCGGACGAUUGUAUGCCAUUCAAAAAGUCGGGAGUUGAAAGACAGCACGCAGCACCUUUGUCCCCCUCCCCGUUUUCCCGGCGCGCUGAAAAGAAAUGGGGCUGGGACUUAGGGGCGGGGGAGGGCUUCCAACUCGGUUUCUCUAUAUCCUCCACCACCUUAGAGCCCACCCUCCCCAAUGAGCGUUUUGUUCUACCCAGCCACGUGUUUGUCGGAUUUUUGUUUUUGUGAUUUUUUUUUCCCAUGGAACAACAAGAAUUAAAGUACUAGGAGCUAUUUGUUGUUGAGUAGAAAGAGAAUAUUUUCUGUCCAAGAAGGUGGGAGACAUCUGUGUCUCACCCCCACACACACACCUCCGACCCUCCCCCCUUAUCUGACUCUUAAUACUUAGCUGUUGGUCACAAGCAUUAUUUUUAAACAAACCAAUGAGUAGGAAACAGGCAUGCCACAUAGUAGGCACUCAAUAAACAUUUUUUUAAAUGAAAAACAAGCUAAUACAAACAGCACAGCAAAGAGAAUUGAUGAAAAUUAGAGUCCAGGGGGGAAAAAAUUAUCUUGGCCAGAACGUGUGGCUCUGUUGCCCGGGAACUUUUCUUGGUGAUGUGUGUAGACUUUUGAAAGGGCUAAAAGAUGGUCUCAAAAAGGCUGUUGUAUUUCUUGGCCUUUUCCUAAAGAGGAGCCCCAAUCUCCUUAAAUCUUUUCUGUUAUAUUGGGGAACAAGGAGGAGGGCAACUAGGCAGAUCAUCCCAGUUCCCAGAAACUUUAAGUGCUGUUUCUUUCAUUUAAUUUGAAUCUUUAGGUGCUAAUAAAAGCACUUCUCAGAUUGUCUCCCUGGGGGACAUAUCCACUACUCUGCCUCUGUAUGCCUAAAACAAAAGCAAGUUACACCCCAUAAAAAUCUCCAUCCAGACCUCUAAACUCCUAUAAAAUGCAGUCCACUUUUUACUAUCCUAGAGUCAAUGGGAAACAACAUUUUUAAAAAUAAUCAGUGAAUUCAGUUCACUUUCAGGUUGAUUUUUUUCCAUGUAAAAAUAUACUAACUAAAUGUUAGCUGAAAUCAGUUUUAAUGUAUUUAAGAUAACGUUAGAAGAGAAUAUAUAAAUUUCACUUGAACAAUCUGCUAUUUUUAAAUCCUUUUAAAUAUUUAAUUAAAAAUUACCAAUAAUUGCUAAAUUGAAACUGAUUAGUUCUUUUUAAAAAAUCAGCUGUUUUACUGAAUUCUAAUCCUCUCCACCCCCCAAAAAAAGGCUUAUGUGUGUAUAGUCAGAAGCUGCAAAGGCUGCAAGAAUACAAGAGAGGAGACAACAGGGGUGAGAUACAGAUCUUUUUAGCCCCCAAAUCAGUUUUGCCUUAGUGACCUGGCUAUUUUAGGCUGGGGUUGGGGGAACUAAAUCACAUUGAUUGGUGUUUCAUCUCUCCCUUUUGAAUGAGCCCAGCACUCACAUUAAGGGUUAUUUCUUAUCUAGACUGACAUUCCUAGGUUAGGGAUAAAAAUGGGCAGACUUGAGGUACCAUAACUUUUCAUCUUUCUUUUCUUUGUUUUUGUUAACAUUAAAGAUUACUAUCAAAU